UGGUGUUGCACGCUGAAUGUGCGUUUCAUCACUUCAAACUGCCGGCAACUCUCAGUAUGAUGGUAGGACCUUAACCCUUGCCCCUUUCGGCGAGGGUUUUCUUUUACG
rfam:Klebsiella pneumoniae subsp. pneumoniae MGH 78578, complete sequence.